AGACAGAACCAUGUACUUUAGAUUAUUACUAAUGAUUUUAUCUACAGCACCCAGUGUUCAUUGUAUUGAGCUGAAUCAGCCUGCCCUCAUGGUGAUAAAACCUGGGGAAUCAUUUUCCAUCGGCUGUAAGAUCACUGGAUAUUCAGCAUCAGGAGGUGGCUGUACUAACUGGAUAAGACACUCAGCUGGAAAAGCGAUGGAAUGGAUUGGCUGGUUCUGUAGUUCUGGAGAUACAGGCACCAGCGACACAAUGAAGAAUAAGAUCAGUUUCACUGCUGAAACCUCCAGCAACACAGUUUUCUUACGAGGUCAAAGCUUUCAAACUGAAGACACAGCUGUAUAUUAUUGUGCACGCAAUACACAGUGUCACAAAUUGCCUGGGGACCUGUGCAAGAAUGAUUGCAUUGACUGCAUAGACAGCUUGGAAACACAAUGCAAAAGUAUUGUAGACAUAUAA